UUGAUUGACUCAUCGUUUGGUUUAUUUCUCCUUUAGCUUAUUGAUUCACUGGCUUUGUCACCCUUGUUUGUUCAUUUGUCUCCCUCAAAUAGGUACGCGAGUAAGUGGAAGGCAAAGUCCAGGAUCACCAAUUUCCAAGGGAUGCUGACUGCAAGGAAUCCGAGUCCCACAACACACACAUACAACUAUAGAUACACAUAUUUGGAGUAUAUAUAAGGACUUACCUUAUAAAAUGGAGAGCAAGCUAUGUUGCGAAUAACACGGAUGAAGCAGAAACGAGUUGGGCGAUAAAGAAUGUCCAAUGGGCAAAUGAGCAUUACUAUAAACAUC